UAACACGUAGGGGGCGAGCGUUGUUCGGAAUCAUUGGGCGUAAAGGGCGUGCAGGCGGUCCUGCAAGUCCGGCGUGAAAGACCCCGGCCCAACCGGGGGGGCGCGCUGGAAACUGCAGGGCUUGAGUACAGGAGGGGAUGCCGGAAUUCCAGGUGUAGGGGUGAAAUCUGUAGAUAUCUGGAAGAACACCAAUGGCGAAGGCAGGCAUCUGGCCAUGUACUGACGCUGAGACGCGAAGGUGCGGGGAGCAAACAGG
rnacentral:rRNA from 1 species